rnacentral:rRNA from 1 species
GAUGAACGCUGGCGGCGUGCCUAAUACAUGCAAGUCGAGCGAACGGACGAUAAGCUUGCUUCUCUGAUGUUAGCGGCGGACGGGUGAGUAACACGUGGAUAACCUACCUAUAAGACUGGGAUAACCUCGGGAAACCGGCGCUAAUACCGGAUAAUAUUUUGAACCGCAUUGUUCAAAAGUGAAAGACGGUCUUGCUGUCACUUAUCGAUGGAUCCGCGCUGCAUUAGCUAGUUGGUAAGGUCACGGCUUACCAAGGCAACGAUGCAUAGCCGACCUGAGAGAGUGGUAGGCCACACGGGAGGUGAGACGGGGUCAAGACUCCUAAGAGAGGCAGCAGUAGGGAAUCGGCGGCAAUGGGCGGAAGCAUGACGAAGCGACGGCGCGUGAGUGGUGGAGGUCUUGGGAUCGUAAAGCUCUGUUAUUAGUGAAGAACAUAUGUGUAAGGAACUGUGCACAGCGUGACGGUAACUAAUCAAAAAGCCACGGCUAACUACGUG